rnacentral:tRNA from 1 species
GCCCGGGUGGUGGAAUUGGUAGACACAAGGGACUUAAAAUCCCUCGGCAUUUUAUGCUGUGCGAGUUCAAGUCUCGCCCUAGGCACCA